GCCCGGAUAGCUCAGUCGGCAGAGCAUCAGACUUUUAAUCUGAGGGU
rnacentral:tRNA from 1 species